rnacentral:rRNA from 1 species
AAUAGAUACCCCGGGUAGUCCACGCCGUAAACGAUGAGUGCUAAGUGUUAGAGGGUUUCCGCCCUUUAGUGCUGCAGCUAACGCAUUAAGCACUCCGCCUGGGGGAGUACGGUCGCAAGACUGAAACUCAAAGGAAUUGACGGGGGGCCCGCACAAGCGGUGGAGCAUGUGGUUUAAUUCGAAGCAACGCGAAGAACCUUACCAGGUCUUGACAUCCUCUGACAACUCUAGAGAUAGAGCGUUCCCCUUCGGGGGACAGAGUGACAGGUGGUGCAUGGUUGUCGUCAGCUCGUGUCGUGAGAUGUUGGGUUAAGUCCCGCAACGAGCGCAACCCUUGAUCUUAGUUGCCAGCAUUUAGUUGGGCACUCUAAGGUGACUGCCGGUGACAAACCGGAGGAAGGUGGGGAUGACGUCAAAUCAUCAUGCCCCUUAUGACCUGGGCUACACACGUGCUACAAUGGAUGGUACAAAGGGCUGCAAGACCGCGAGGUCAAGCCAAUCCCAUAAAACCAUUCUCAGUUCGGAUUGUAGG